GACGAAGGAUGCAAGCGUUAUCCGGAUUCAUUGGGUUUAAAGGGAGCGUAGGUGGCCUUAUAAGUCAGUGGUGAAAUCUCUGGGCUUAACCCAGAAAUUGCCAUUGAUACUGUAGGGCUUGAGUAUAGUUCCGUUGGCGGAAUAUGACAUGUAGUGGUGAAAUACAUAGAGAUGUCAUAGAACACCGAUUGCGAAGGCAGCUGACGAAACUAUAACUGACACUGAGGCUCGAAAAGUGCGGGGAUCAAACAGG
rnacentral:rRNA from 1 species